UUCUAUGGGCAGCGGUGGUGGGGAGGCUUCGGCCUGCCGGUUUCCUUGAGUACCGGUCGAUCAACCCUAUCAUCUGCUGCCCACCUCG
rnacentral:antisense_RNA from 2 species